AUAUGUAUAUAUAUAUAUAUAUAUAUAUAUAUAUGCACGCACACAUAUAUACACAUAUAUAUUUAUCAAGUUACUUCGAAUAGAGUUCUUUAUAAAGCUAAAAUAAGAAAGAUGAUAAGAAAAAAACUACUCUAAGAGCUCUUACGGUCCCUUUGACGUUUCAGCGCAGAUUUAAUAAGACUCUUUGUAAAGUAAUCGAUAUUGUUCAUGUUAAAUACGUUGGACUGAGAUAAGAAGACACAUAAAACAACAAACAUUAUAUACACGCAUAUGUACGUGUCACGAAUGGCGUGCACGUUGCGUAACCAAUGUGUGAACAUUUCUCGGGAGAAUAUAAAUAAAUCGUAAAAUAUAAUAAAAAGAACAAAAAGAAAAAAAGAGACAUAGCGAGCUUCGUGCGUAAGUAAGUAAAGUAAUUAAGUAAGUAACCACAAGAUAGUUGUGUUUUUCGUGUACAAAAUAACGAGAGAGAGAGAGAGAGAGAGAGAGAGAGAGCGAAAGUGCGAACGUGCGACGAGCGAACGAGCAAACGAGCGAAAGAGAGAGAGAGAAAGAGAGCGAGAGAGAGAUGAAUAAACAAAAUAUAAAAAAAUUAAAUUUAAAAGGAUUACAACGAAGCUUCCGUCGAUCUUUCGACGCAUUUAAUUCGCCACGUACGCCUAUGUGCAGAGAGAAAAGAGAAGGAAUACGUAAAAAGGGUAAGAAAGGAAGAGAUGAAAUGACGGCUUCCGGUUGUGGCAAAGAUUCUCGGAAAAAAAUGUUAAAACACAAUGAAUCAGACAAAAGGAAAACAAAAAAAAUAAAAGGAUGGCUAUAUCCGUUACGAAGAAGACGCGUUAUCAAAGCAGACCGGAAGCGAAAGAGCUAUGGACAAAAAAAAAGAGAGAAAGAAAAGGAAAACAUGACUUUAAAGAGACCUGGAGAUGACAUUUUUUCUAGCUGGCCAAAAUCACAUAAGAGUUGUUCACGCGAAGGGCUCGUGAAAAGGUUUCCUCCAUUGAAGAAAAGUCUGCUUUGAUGAAUGUCUUCCAGACUUCGUAAAGAGAACUCGACGACGCGCAUAUAUAUAUAUAUAUAUAUAUAUAUAUAUAUAUAUAUAUAUAUAUACAUAUAUAUACAUAUACAUACACAUAUACAUAUAUGCAUAUGUAUAUAUACACAUACCUACAUAGAUAUACGUAUAAGUAGCACACGCGCUCGCUCGUUCGCUCGCACAUACGCAUACACAUAUGUGAUAAGACUUACGAUUUUCUUUUAUCUGUAUUUUACGCGUAUGAAACGAAUGAGAAAUAAUUACAGAAAAAGAAAAUAGCCUAAGUCAUUUCUAUGUCGUAUACACGUGCAACGCGAACGUGAGCGCGCAUACGUAUACGUACAUACGAGUGUAUAUUACGUGUAUACACGCACACAAAUACACGCACGCGCGCACACACAUACACACACACACACACACACACAGAGAGAGAGAGAGAGAUAUAAAUACCACAAGUUACAUCCGCAGAUAUUGUUAUAAUUAUUUUACAAAAGACAAGAAACUAUGAACGGGCCUAUCCUAUUGUAUGUACGUGCUUGUUAGACACAUUUCGGCCAAUAAAUUAUCUCGAUUGAACGCGGACUUGAAAUCAACGAGGAAGAUAAAAUGGCGAAGAUAAUAAAGAAAUAAUCGAGCAUUUAAAGAAAGAUCAGUGACCGUGGAGAAAAAACGGAUAAUAAAAAGAAGAAACGCGGCGGUGGAGAGAAAUAUUUUACGAAGGUAGAAUCGUAUCGCCGUCUUAAAUGAUCGUAAUAAAAUCUUACGGAAGAGAAGAAAUGAAAAGGGAGUGAGGAAAAUGAAAUAGGAAGAAAACAAGAAAGUGUCCGACAUAUGUCAUCGGAAUGUCGCAACUUCUCGACUCUCCAUAAAGAAAAUUAAGACAAAACCGUCGUUUGGUUCUAUCGUUUUCCAUUCAGGACCAAUUAUCUCGCUAGCGCGUUCCAGAUGAAGUUACUAUUAUUAUGCAGCAUUGUACUUAAAUGAAAAAGAAAAAAAAGAAUCUUUAAGGCGAGUUCGUAAGUUUAACUGUUAAAAAGUGUCGUGGGUUGGACGAUGACAUCGAUGAAACAAAGACGAGAAGUAAGAAAAAUAUCGAAUCGGAAGGUGGAACGAACGAACUCCUCGUCCAUUAAUUCUCGUUCAUUCGCUUCCUUCUAUAUUUUUCUUUCUCUUUCAUUCAAGCGAGAAUAGAACGACACUUCGGUACGGUACUAUAACAAUAUAAGCGUUCGAUAUUUUGUUGAGACAUGAAGGAACAUAUGUACGUACUCGUUGCAUCUUUAAAAGUUAGAUUUUGGUAAUAUUCGAAAUCAUGAUAGGAGGCACAGUGUGCGGUAUACAUAAGUCAGAAAUUGUGACUCACACGACGACAGUUUAUUAUUAACUUCAUUACAGCGUUUUCUCCUCAUUUCGAAAAUUUCUGUCUCGACGAAAUUUCACAAUUGCGGUUUUUCCGCGUGCGUGCUUUUUAGUAAUACGUGACGUAACAUCUUUCUUGCGACAGAAAUAUUUAAUGAAGGGGGAGAGAGAGAGAGAGAGAGAGAGAGAGAGAGAGAGAGAGAGAGAGAGAGAGAGAGAGAGAGAGAGAGAGAGAGAGAGAGAGGGAGAGGGAGAGAAAGCGAUUUUAAAUAAAAGCGUACGCACCGGUUACCCCUAUAAUUCACGAUGGUGGCGUAGACACAUUAGCUAUGCAAUAAACGGCCGCCUUUCGUUCCUUUCGAAAUGAUUUCCGCGCAUUCGCGUUGCGUGUUCGCCACGUUAUCGCAACCGAUAAUGAUGCUGGUAAUGGUUCAUCAAUGUCAUCGGCCACGUCUUUUUGCGACGCUAAUUCAAAUAUUUAAUUGAAUAUUAGAGCGAUGAGAUAAAAUUAGGGCGAUGAGAAUAAAAAAAUGAGAAAAAGAGCACGCGUGAAGUUUGUUGGUUUUGUGGCUAGUUUUCGCGAGGGAGGAAAACUGUCCAUUUUUUACAGUAGAUCCUGUGCGUUCUUUACAUAUAAGAUAGGAGGAUGCUUGUUUCUUGUUGUAUAAUAUAUAAAAAAAAAAUCUACAAAAACAACAAAAAAGCAACUUUCCUGCGUUUUAAGGGGCCGAUGCUUGAUUUCGUCCGCAGGAUCUACUUCUCUUUUUCGACGUAGACACUCGCAGACUUUAGAUCUCCAUUUAAGAAACAGAACAAGUGAGAGAAACAGAAAGGAAGAAAGAGAAGAAAGAUAAAGAAGUACGUCUUAGAAGGAAGAAGAAGGAAAAGGAAAUGGUGAUCCUGACGACAAGCAUCUUUCUGAAGCGUCCCAUCUGAAAAGAAAAAUAAUAUAUAAAUAUAGAUAUAUAUCCCCAGACGCAUAUAUAUCUUCUUCGAAGUAACGUGGACUUUUAGGAGAGAAAGGAAAUGAGAAAGAAUGGAAAGGAGCGAGAGGGAAGCAGCUGAAACUCGUAUAUUUGAUUGUCUCGUCCAAAUGAAAUCUAUAAA